rnacentral:ncRNA from 1 species
GAUAGAGGUUGCGAGCUUUAUCAGUAGAUUGUCGGAUGUGCCCGGACACAGGGGAAGACAAUGGAAAGGGGAGCGCGCCGAAGGGGUCUGCGUGUCGGGACGGUAGGUCACCUGGGUGCAGGCCGAACAGGUCUGCAACUGUCAUCUGCUGCAGAUGGGGCGCUAUC